rnacentral:tRNA from 2 species
GGAUAGCUCAGAUGGUUAGAGCAUCGGACUGUUAAUCCGACUGUCGCGGGUUCGAUUCCCGCUCCA